CUAUACAUGCAGUCGAGCGGACAGAAGGGAGCUUGCUCCCGGAUGUUAGCGGCGGACGGGUGAGUAACACGUGGGUAACCUGCCUGUAAGACUGGGAUAACUCCGGGAAACCGGAGCUAAUACCGGAUAGUUCCUUGAACCGCAUGGUUCAAGGAUGAAAGACGGUUUCGGCUGUCACUUACAGAUGGACCCGCGGCGCAUUAGCUAGUUGGUGAGGUAACGGCUCACCAAGGCGACGAUGCGUAGCCGACCUGAGAGGGUGAUCGGCCACACUGGGACUGAGACACGGCCCAGACUCCUACGGGAGGCAGCAGUAGGGAAUCUUCCGCAAUGGACGAAAGUCUGACGGAGCAACGCCGCGUGAGUGAUGAAGGUUUUCGGAUCGUAAAGCUCUGUUGUUAGGGAAGAACAAGUGCAAGAGUAACUGCUUGCACCAUGACGGUACCUAACCAGAAAGCCACGGCUAACUACGUGCCAGCAGCCGCGGUAAUACGUAGGUGGCAAGCGUUGUCCGGAAUUAUUGGGCGUAAAGGGCUCGCAGGCGGUUUCUUAAGUCUGAUGUGAAAGCCCCCGGCUCAACCGGGGAGGGUCAUUGGAAACUGGGAAACUUGAGUGCAGAAGAGGAGAGUGGAAUUCCACGUGUAGCGGUGAAAUGCGUAGAGAUGUGGAGGAACACCAGUGGCGAAGGCGACUCUCUGGUCUGUAACUGACGCUGAGGAGCGAAAGCGUGGGGAGCGAACAGGAUUAGUAUUUUUGUUU
rnacentral:rRNA from 1 species